GGCGAAACUGAAACAUCUCAGUAGCUGGAGGAAAAGACAUCAACCGAGAUUCCGUUAGUAGUGGCGAGCGAACGCGGACCAGGCCAGUGCCUUUCAUUCAAGUAGCAGAACACUCUGGAAAGUGUGGCCAUAGCGGGUGACAGCCCCGUAUGCGAAACUGAUGUGGAAGGACUCGAGUAGGGCGGGACACGUGUAAUCCUGUCUGAACAUGGGGGGACCACCCUCCAAGCCUAAAUACUCGUACAUGACCGAUAGCGAACUAGUACCGUGAGGGAAAGGUGAAAAGCACCCCGAUGAGGGGAGUGAAACAGUACCUGAAACGGAUUGCCUACAAGCAGUAGGAGCCUCUUUAUGGGGUGACUGCGUACCUCUUGCAUAAUGGGUCUGUGACUUAAUGUUUCAAGCAAGCUUAAGCCGAUAGGUGUAGGCGCAGCGAAAGCGAGUCUGAAUAGGGCGCUUUAGUUUGAAGUAUUAGACCCGAAACCCGGCGAUCUAUGCAUGACCAGGAUGAAGGUGCGGUAACACGCACUGGAGGUCCGAACCGAUUAACGUUGAAAAGUUACCGGAUGAGUUGUGCUUAGGGGUGAAAGGCCAAUCAAGCCGGGAAAUAGCUGGUUCUCCGCGAAAACUAUUGAGGUAGUGCCUCGAGCGGACACCAUAGGGGGUAGAGCACUGGAUGGUUGCGGGGGUCGCGAGAUCUACCAAUACUAACCAAACUCCGAAUACCUAUGAGUGAUACUCGGGAGACAGACGGCGGGUGCUAAGGUCCGUCGUCAAAAGGGAAACAGCCCUGACCUACAGCUAAGGUCCCCAAGUCGUGUCUAAGUGGGAAAGCAUGUGGAAAUCCCAAAACAACCAGGAGGUUGGCUUAGAAGCAGCCAUCCUUUAAAGAAAGCGUAACAGCUCACUGGUCUAAACAAGGGUUUCUGCGGCGAAGAUGUAACGGGGCUCAAGACACGCACCGAAGCUUAGGGUGUGCACUUUGUGCACGCGGUAGCGGAGCGUUCCGUAAGCCUGCGAAGCGAUCUGGUAAUGGGUCGUGGAGGUAUCGGAAGUGCGAAUGCAGACAUGAGUAGCGAUAAAGAGGGUGAGAUGCCCUCUCGCCGAAAGACCAAGGGUUCCUGCGCAAGGCUAAUCCGCGCAGGGUGAGCCGGCCCCUAAGACGAGCCCGAAGGGGGUAGUCGAUGGGAACCACGUUAAUAUUCGUGGGCCUGGUGGUGUGUGACGGAUCUCGUGUGUUGUUCUCCCUUAUUGGAUUGGGAGGGCUUCGAAGAGGUUCCAGGAAAUAGCCCCACCGUAUAGACCGUACCCGAAACCGACACAGGUGGUCAGGUAGAGUAUACCAAGGCGCUUGAGAGAAGUGUCCUGAAGGAACUCGGCAAAUUGCCUCCGUACCUUCGGAAGAAGGAGGCCCUCAUCGUGCGCAAGCAUUUUGAGGGGGCACAGGCCAGGGGGUAGCGACUGUUUAGCAAAAACACAGGGCUCUGCUAAGUCGGCUUCAAGACGACGUAUAGGGCCUGACGCCUGCCCGGUGCCUGAAGGUUAAGUGGAGGGGUGCAAGCUCUGAAAUGAAGCCCAGGUAAACGGCGGCCGUAACUAUAACGGUCCUAAGGUAGCGAAAUUCCUUGUCGGGUAAGUUCCGACCUGCACGAAUGGCGUAACGACCUCCC
rnacentral:rRNA from 1 species